UGCGGUAGAGGAGCGUUCUGUAAGCCUGUGAAGGUGAGUUGAGAAGCUUGCUGGAGGUAUCAGAAGUGCGAAUGCUGACAUGAGUAACGACAAUGGGUGUGAAAAACACCCACGCCGAAAGACCAAGGUUUCCUGCGCAACGUUAAUCGACGCAGGGUUAGUCGGUCCCUAAGGCGAGGCUGAAAAGCGUAGUCGAUGGAAAACAGGUUAAUAUUCCUGUACUUCUGGUUAUUGCGAUGGAGGGACGGAGAAGGCUAGGCCAGCUUGGCGUUGGUUGUCCAAGUUUAAGGUGGUAGGCUGAGAUCUUAGGUAAAUCCGGGAUCUUAAGGCCGAGAGCUGAUGACGAGUUACCCUUUGGGUGACGAAGUGGUUGAUGCCAUGCUUCCAAGAAAAGCUUCUAAGCUUCAGGUAACCAGGAACCGUACCCCAAACCGACACAGGUGGUUGGGUAGAGAAUACCAAGGCGCUUGAGAGAACUCGGGUGAAGGAACUAGGCAAAAUGGCACCGUAACUUCGGGAGAAGGUGCGCCGGUGAGGGUGAAGGACUUGCUCCGUAAGCUCAUGCCGGUCGAAGAUACCAGGCCGCUGCGACUGUUUAUUAAAAACACAGCACUCUGCAAACACGAAAGUGGACGUAUAGGGUGUGACGCCUGCCCGGUGCCGGAAGGUUAAUUGAUGGGGUUAGCUAACGCGAAGCUCUUGAUCGAAGCCCCGGUAAACGGCGGCCGUAACUAUAACGGUCCUAAGGUAGCGAAAUUCCUUGUCGGGUAAGUUCCGACCUGCACGAAUGGCGUAACGAUGGCGGCGCUGUCUCCACCCGAGACUCAGUGAAAUUGAAAUCGCUGUGAAGAUGCAGUGUAUCCGCGGCUAGACGGAAAGACCCCGUGAACCUUUACUAUAGCUUUGCACUGGACUUUGAAUUUGCUUGUGUAGGAUAGGUGGGAGGCUUUGAAGCGUGGACGCCAGUUCGCGUGGAGCCAUCCUUGAAAUACCACCCUGGCAACUUUGAGGUUCUAACUCAGGUCCGUUAUCCGGAUCGAGGACAGUGUAUGGUGGGUAGUUUGACUGGGGCGGUCUCCUCCUAAAGAGUAACGGAGGAGUACGAAGGUGCGCUCAGACCGGUCGGAAAUCGGUCGUAGAGUAUAAAGGCAAAAGCGCGCUUGACUGCGAGACAGACACGUCGAGCAGGUACGAAAGUAGGUCUUAGUGAUCCGGUGGUUCUGUAUGGAAGGGCCAUCGCUCAACGGAUAAAAGGUACUCCGGGGAUAACAGGCUGAUACCGCCCAAGAGUUCAUAUCGACGGCGGUGUUUGGCACCUCGAUGUCGGCUCAUCACAUCCUGGGGCUGAAGCCGGUCCCAAGGGUAUGGCUGUUCGCCAUUUAAAGUGGUACGCGAGCUGGGUUUAGAACGUCGUGAGACAGUUCGGUCCCUAUCUGCCGUGGACGUUUGAGAUUUGAGAGGGGCUGCUCCUAGUACGAGAGGACCGGAGUGGACGAACCUCUGGUGUUCCGGUUGUCACGCCAGUGGCAUUGCCGGGUAGCUAUGUUCGGGAAAGAUAACCGCUGAAAGCAUCUAAGCGGGAAACUUGCCUCAAGAUGAGAUCUCACUGGAACCUUGAGUUCCCUGAAGGGCCGUCGAAGACUACGACGUUGAUAGGUUGGGUGUGUAAGCGCUGUGAGGCGUUGAGCUAACCAAUACUAAUUGCCCGUGAGGCUUGACC
rnacentral:rRNA from 1 species